CACAUUAUGAGGUUAGAGCAAACAUAUGCCGCAAGAAUCCACCUUCUUUUCUUCAUUUAAAGAAAGAAAAAAAAAAGAAAAAAUCCAUUUUUGACUUAAAUUCAGUUAUGUUUGCCUAUUGCCUCCUUGGUUUUUGUCAUGCAAUUCUCAGAUAUCUUGCUUGUGCAUUUCCUGAGUUGCAGAUCAUUGGUAUCCAACUGA